rnacentral:lncRNA from 1 species
UUAAAAGUAAUAGAAAGAAUGAAAUAUAGAAGUGAAUAGAUACUGUACACUAGGUAGGAUCCUAGGAAAAGGAGGUGGGUCAAGUUCGAUUACUUAAAUACCAAGCUAUUCUUAGGUAAAUCUAAUCCUAGGCAUGUACAUAUCUAUUGUCACACUUCUUAUUUUGCAAAUUCUUCAAUUUUAUUGAUGAUUUCCACCUAUUGUUUUAUUGUACGAGAAAUAAAAAUAUCCUAAAAGAACCAAAGCCUAAAAACUUAAAAUAUCCUAAGAAAUAAUAUAAAAUAAAGUAAAGAUAAGAUCCCCCCCUUUUAUUUAUUUGCAGACCCCUCAAAAUCUGAUCUAUCUUUUGCUUCAUCGUCCUUGUUUUUGCUCGAAUCGCCUCGUUCCUUCCUUGACAUUGGAGUCCAUGGAUCAAAUAUAAAGUUUAAAAAUUUAGGCACAAAAACAAACUGGUCAUGAAAUACUUUUGUAAAAGCGCCUCUCAUUGCGUCGUCCCGUAUUUUUUAGUAUCUCCAGUAAGCUUGUUGCUGCCACUACAUAUGUUGCAUUAUGUCCAUCAACUUUGACAGUUCAUCAUGAAGAUCUGGACAAGGUGAACGAGUUCUAAACGUUGGGGUAGCCAUGUUAGGUUCGAAAAUUGGUUCAGUUGGCUUUCCCGGAUUAGGAAUUUCAACUAGUUGCAUUGGUUCUAUCUCUGUAGGAACUUCUUCUCCUUUGAGUUCAUCACUUGAUUCAGCUUGCUAUUGCAGAAUAGAAUUUCUUGCUACUCGAAAAAGGUCCCAAUCCAUGAUUGUGCCUUGGCUAUACCCUGUCUUCUUUACAUCUGCAAAAAUUUUAGCUUUUAAGCACAAAACUGUUAUCGUAAAAGGAAAGUAGGCUGGACCAAAAUGUCUAGCACAGUUUUGAAUUUCUCUUAGAAUGAUCUUUCCUACAUCAAUGGUCUGUGCUGUCAUAAUUAAGUAUAGCAAGACCAUUUUUUCUACUAAAAUCGUAGUCCCAUGUGAGAUAGGUAUAUGUGUAACACCCUAUACCCGGUCCGGUCGCCGAGCCCGCAUAUAAAGAUGCCACACCACUGUCCCACUACUUGUACAUUAUAGUGUUCACUAUGUUCAAGCCGACACAUGUUAUUCUUCAUAUUUGCACAAGUUUUAAGACAUACAUACAUUAAUCAUCAUUACAAUAUGCUAGACAUACAUCAAUGUAACUAACCAUGUUAAAAAUUUAAGCUUUUGGACCACUUAGCAAAAUUUCCAAGACAAUCACGUAGGUAUCGACACUGACCUUAGGGUAUCAAUAUUUUCUUUAAGUGGUAUCGAUACCACCUGGAAAAUCAAUGUCAAACUUGCAUUCUGUUUCUCGCUCAAAAAUUAUACUUUUGAAAAUUAUUGGUACCUACCAUAGAGUAUCGAUAUAUUUACCCCGAGUAUCGAUACUCAAGCAAAGGUAGUGAUACUAAAUCUCUAUUCUGACUUCCCUACAUGUUUUAAAACAUAGAGGUAUCAUUUUUAAAACUCAAUUAUCGAUACCUCUGCCUCAGACCAUAAAAAUACAGCAUACAAAAGUAUUUAGUCCAUUCCAAAUUAGUUUCUAAACAUCAUGCAUCAAAUACUUCGAUAAAUAAUCAUCCAAACGGCUAAAUUUAACAGUUCAAAAUGUCAGAAACGUGUCCAAGCAAGAAACAUCAUGUCGUCAUCAAUGUUCAUAAGCCUCUUAAACAAUAUCAAUAACCAACAGAAUGUUCAAAACUAACAUGACUAUAAACAAGCUACCACAUUGUCUUAUUCCCUAAAACGUAAAUAAAUAAAUAAUGAAUACCUACGAAAUACUAACAAGCCUUCCUUAAAUUAUUCCCUCGGAAAAACCACACUUCCCACACCGAAACGUCACUAAUCUGCAUAUGGUUUAAGAAGGGAGCGGGUGAGCUUAACAAGCUCAAUGAAUUAUUAGAAUAAUCACUACGCAAACAUGUCAUCAAGCAUCCAUAAUAUCUAUAAUAUAAUAUCUAGUAUCAUAUAAUAUCUAUUCAUGCAUUAUCCAUUAAUUCAUUUAAAUAGCAUUUAUGAACUCAUUCAAGCGUAUAUCAUAUAACAAAUAUUCCAUUAAUCAUGUAGCACAUUUCACACAAUCACAUAUAAUGAUAAAUUGGGACUACCACCACACAUCGGAUACAAGGAUCUCCAAUCUCACCCUUGCAGUAUGAAAAUUUUCAUCUUUUUCCUAAAAAUUCUAUAUGUUUUCGAUUUAA